AUUGAACGCUGGCGGCAGGCCUAACACAUGCAAGUCGAGCGGUAGCACAGAGGAGCUUGCUCCUUGGGUGACGAGCGGCGGACGGGUGAGUAAUGUCUGGGAAACUGCCUGAUGGAGGGGGAUAACUACUGGAAACGGUAGCUAAUACCGCAUAACGUCUUCGGACCAAAGCGGGGGACUUUCGGGCCUCGCGCCAUCAGAUGUGCCCAGAUGGGAUUAGCUGGUAGGUGAGGUAAUGGCUCCCCUAGGCGACGAUCCCUAGCUGGUCUGAGAGGAUGACCAGCCAUACUGGAACUGAGACACGGUCCAGACUCCUACGGGAGGCAGCAGUGGGGAAUAUUGCACAAUGGGCGCAAGCCUGAUGCAGCCAUGCCGCGUGUGUGAAGAAGGCCUUCGGGUUGUAAAGCACUUUCAGCGGGGAGGAAGGCGGUGAGAUUAAUACUCUCAUCGAUUGACGUUACCCGCAGAAGAAGCACCGGCUAACUCCGUGCCAGCAGCCGCCGUAAGAC
rnacentral:rRNA from 1 species